rnacentral:rRNA from 1 species
AUUGAACGCUGGCGGCAUGCCUUACACAUGCAAGUCGAACGGUAACGCGGGGCAACCUGGCGACGAGUGGCGAACGGGUGAGUAACGCAUCGGAACGUGCCCAGUAGUGGGGGAUAGCCCGGCGAAAGCCGGAUUAAUACCGCAUACGACCUACGGGUGAAAGCGGGGGCCCGUACGGCAUCGCCCUAUUGGAGCGGCCGAUGUCAGAUUAGGUAGUUGGUGGGGUAAAAGCCUACCAAGCCGACGAUCUGUAGCUGGUAUGAGAGGACGACCAGCCAUACUGGGACUGAGACACGGCCCAGACACCUACGGGAGGCAGCAGUGGGGAAAUUUGGACAAUGGGCGCAAUCCUGAUCCAGCCAUGCCGCGUGCGGGAAGAAGGCCUUCGGGUUGUAAACCGCUUUUGUCAGGGAAGAAACGCUCUGGGCUAAUACCCCGGGUAAUGACGGUACCUGAAGAAUAAGCACCGGCUAACUACGUGCCAGCCGCCGCGGUAAUAC